rnacentral:lncRNA from 1 species
CAGCACGCCGCACGGCGCGGGGAGGCUCCGCCCGGCUCCCUCGGACCGCCCCGCGUCAGAACGCAGGCCGCGGGGCAGGACGUCGAGGGCUCGGGACGCCUUGCUGGCUGGCGACCUGGCGCGUGGAGCUGGGGACCGGGAUGAGGCGACAGGCUCAGUCAGUGACAAUCGGAGCGGCCGGGCCCACUUGCACGAUCCCUGGAUUGGCGCGACCUCCGGGGUUGAAGGGGGCGGGGCGAGCGGAGCGCGCGUCACGUGACUCCCGGGCUGCGCUUGGAGCUGGGUCUCUGCGACUCCAAGGCUUGGGGUUCGAGUCUGUACCCACAAAUCCUUUGUGUGCUGCGGUUUAAAGUGAGAGCUGGUGAUGUCCCUGGCCGUACAGAGCUUACAUUCUAGGCAGGCUCUUUAUUCAGUCACUAAAGUGCUUCAGUCUUGUCUGCCUGUUUAGUUAUUAAUGCUAGGCGAAGCCAGAUGGGGUCUUUUGCAGCCCCAGUAAACUGUUCAGGAAAAGAAAUGGACUUAGGUUUUGUGUUGAUCCAGACUGGAGAUACCGUAUUGAUGUUUUUAAUUUGGGGGUUGGGAGGAAUGAAGGGGUGCUCAACUUUUGGACCUGGAACCUUAAAAAUAGCUGCAGCUUUUUGUAACUCUUUCAAAGUUUAAAAGUAACAACAAAGUAACAAUCCGGAUUUUAAUAACAAUGUAACUUUCCGUAAUUGUUCUAACGCUUGCUUUUCGAAGACGUUGACUAAAGUCCCAGCUCACUAGCCUUUUGUUUCCAGAGGAUCUCCUAGAAUCUCUGUCCUGGUGUGUCCCACAGGCCAACACAGCAUUCCUGGGAUAUUUUAAGCAGAGCAGACCUGAAAACUAUUUUUCAGAUUUUCAUCUGUGUGGACGGAAUCUUGAUGAUCCGAGUUACACCCGCUGGAUAAAUCAAGAGGUCCAGAGAGGUCUCUGCCUUGCCAAUAUAAAAUCAUAGAAGAACUUCGUUGUCUAGUACUUUUCAGACAGAGUUGUACACGUGGCAGAGGAAGUGAAAAUGUGCUGCAAUUCCAUUGAGAAUGUUUGCUCUACCUCUACUUCAGUGUGUUCAUGUGCCUCACCAGUGUGUCUGCAAUCAUGGGCAGUGUAGAUGUUUCUAAGUAAUUUUUAAUUGUUUUUUUUUUUGACCUCACUUACUGGUGAGCUUCUGGGUGGGAUUCUCCUCCUGUGAUCUUUUGUAGCAGCUAAGGUCUACAAAAAAAUUAAGAGGAUGCUUUGAUUUAAUUCCACAGAAAACCACAGAUGAUGGUGCUGGAUCAUCGCUAGUUAAAGUGCUGGAUAUGCCCAAGGUCACAUGGCCUAAGAAAAACUGCUCUCCCUUCCAAGGACCCAGCAGUCUUUAGACCAGCUCAAGGUGAAGUGUGAGAGUGGCCUGAACAUGGACAGGAGGAGGAGACCCUCUGGUCCUUUCUCACUUGGGAGUGAUGGGUAAAAUAUCUCACUGUAAAUCUCCCUAAGUGUUACCCACUGUGACUGAAACGUUAUAUAAUAUAGACCGACCUGAGGUUCAAAGAUCAUACUUUAACAUUGUGAAAUGUGCUAACAAUUCCAGUGCUCAAAUCUUCUGUCCCCCCGUACCCCCCCCCCAUCACCACUUUCUCCCUCCAUCACCACUCCAGCCAAACUCUCUGGAUGACUUUGAACCUCACGUAAACUGGUAAAAGUAGGUACAUAUUUGGUUCUAUCAGACUUAACUUUUUUAUUACAAGAGUACUCUUGAUCAGGGUGCAUGGAAACAAGUACCUCUAUAAACCAUGUAUUGGAGGAUAAGUUGAUACAAUUUCUAUAAAGACUAGUGCCAUUAUGUGGUCUAUGCAUGGAGAAAGAGACAGAUAUCCAGACCCUCCUAUAUUAUUUUGUAAGGAGACACAGAGUUUUAGCCUUAAAUCAUACCUCAUAAGCCAGGCAUGAUGGAUACCUAUUGUAUUUGGCUAUUCUUGGUAGCCGGCUUGACUACAUCGGGAACCAAAGUGGCUAGGUACACAUGUGAGGGAUUUUGGUUUUGUUUAUGAAUUAAGUCAUUGGCAGUGGGAAGAAGACACACUUCUAAUCUCAAUGUUCUGAGGUGAGACUCUGGGCCACAGCUUCUGCUGGCAACCUGUAUGCAGGAAGAAAGCAGCUUUUGCCCCCUUCCUGUUUGUUCUUGCUUUCGCUGGCACAUCCAUUUCUUCUUGGAAUUAAAGCCUACUUCUUUGGGACUCUGGUGAAUACCGAAGACCAGCUGAGACAUCCAGCCUUAUGGUCUGAACUACUACUGGAUUCUUAGAUCUUGCAUUGGUAGACAGCAAUUGUUGGGCUUGCUGGAUCACAGCCUGUAAGCUAUUCUAAUGAAUCACUGAUAGAUGGUAGAUAGAUAGAUAGAUAGAUAGAUAGAUAGAUAGAUAGAGAUUCAUUCUAUAAGUUCUGUGCCUCUAGAGAACCUUGACUAAUAAACCUGUAAUUCCUGUAUGUGAAAGAUAGACACAGGAAUUAUGAAUUCCAAGCCAGUCUGACCUAAUGAGGCUCUCCGUUAAAUAAGUUAAACACACACACACACUUGAUAUACCACAGAAGAAAAAUAUAGUUGUCCUCCAAAAAUAGAAUUGUCUUUACUUAUAAUGGCAUAUUUUAUAAAAAUAAAAAAACUAUGUUGGAGAAUAUGCUAUAAAAGUAUAUUAAUUGUAUUAUGAAGUAAUACAAAUGGUCUACACAUAUUUUAUAAAAUAUUCCAUGCUUAUGAAGAAACACGUUUUCACAAAAGGAAAAAAAAUUGUACCAAAAUGUUGAUGUUUUAAAAAUCCCUUUAAGUAUGGGCAUUUAAUAUGUUUCCUUUGGGCUUUUUUGUAUCUUUCUAAAUUAUGUUUAAAGAAUGUAUGUUAUUUUUGUACUAAAACUAUAAAACAGUAACCUUGUUAACAGUCGAA